UUAUAGUACAAGUACAAAACCAGCAUGUAUGAUUGUUAGGAUCUAUGUUAAUUUCUUCUGGCGUCCAAACCACCAACUGCCCCUUUCCAGUCACCACUCUGUUUUGCUGUCUGUUGGUGCCAUCCUUCCCCUUUCCGACGUCGAUCCAUCCACCCUGAAAGGGAUUGGCAAAGCUCUGCUAGACCGUAGGAGCACUCUAGCACUAAUUGUAGCACAGCUCACGUUCCUUUUCGGACGCAGUAGUCCAUAAUAGUGGUAAGUACACUGACACUGCAGUUUUCUGAACUCUCAAGGCAAUGUAGAGGGUUCAUUUCCUUCUGAUGUAUACCUGCCGUCUUGGUUCGUCUCCUCGAAAUAAAAGCAGCUACAUGUUCUGAUGUUGCUCGGUAAUAAGACAAACAGGCAACCGCCACAUCCAAGACAACGCUACUUUGCACGAGGAGUUUAUUCUUUCUUGGAGGCGUUGCCGCGAAAGAAAUCGAUCUAGGUGUAGGUGUUCAUUUCAUAUCUUGUAAUGGUUUGACCGUGGUUGCCCAUGUUUUAUACUCUGCUUGUUGAUGUUUUUGGCCUCGUUGCCUUACAUCAACUAUAAUAAAAUAUGGCUGUGUGCAUCAAUGAUUGGGGGUUUCAACAUCCUUUUCGAAAAGAAAAAAACAGUUGAUCUUGGUUCUGGGACUCUACCAACUAGCAGAAGAGCUAUUGAUGUUAAUUAUUUUUCGGGACUCUAGCAACUAUCAGAAGGUAAGACAGUGAUAUGUUAAAGAGGUCAUUAAAGAAAGACUAGAGAAACCUGGCAUACUAGACCACCACCACCACUUGAUAUCUCCGUUGCCAUUUCAUUUCAUCGCGGCAGCUUCGACGGAGGUUCACAAUGGAUAUAAUUGUUCCUGCAGUCGUAGGUGAUAUUGUCAACAGAGCUGUAUCCUUUGCCAUCAAGAAAUGCUUGCAGCUUCCAAACGUCGACAAGAAUCUGGAGCGGCUAAAUCAGUUGCUUCUAAGAGCCCAUACCAUCACCGAGGAGGCGGAGGGAAGGCUUAUCAACAAUCGAGAGAUGCUCCAGCAGCUGGGGAUAUUGAUAGAAGGGAUGCAGAGAGGCCACUAUAUGCUUGAUAACUUCAAAUGUCGAGCCCUUCAACAAGGGAGAGGGGAUGAGCAUGAGUGCUCUUUGGCAGUAACAACAUAGAAGAUCUACAAGGUAUGAUUGCUACCCUAGAAAAGGCCAUUGCUGACUUGAAGGAGUUUGUUAUUUUUCUGGGGAACUAUCCUCCAAUCUGCCGCUAGCCUUUUCCACAUACUUUAUUUUGGGAAAUUGGUUGUUCUUUUGCCUGAAGGGAUGUGAAUGGUUGAACAACAGAAGCUCUUGGGUUAGAGUUUGCUUGCAUCAAGAAGCUUACUGGUAGAUUUUCAGGAUGCUUGCAUUUGGAAGCGCAAAUCCUGACCUGAUGAGCAACCAACACCUGCAUGGUUAGCCACAGUUAUUGCAACAGAGUCUGAGGGUCCUCCCUUGCCUUCAUACAUGAUUCGUUGAUCAGCAAGAGACAAUUAGUGCUCGAGUCUGGUGCUUGGCUCGUGGAUAUCUGAUGGCAUACACAGACAGGCAGCUCCUUCUGUUUGGUGAACGCCCGAAUGAACUUCUGUUGAGAGAUCAACCAUUACAUUGCUUGAGAAUUGCCUGAAUCCAGUGAUGUGUUCUGGAUUUCAGACUACUACUCCAUGGCGCUUUCCAGGCAGAACCAACUCCUCCAAGAGCAAGAUCACUUUGUCAGAUUCAUGUCAGGAUGUGAUAUGCACUAUUGCCUAUACGAGAGAUUUGAUGCUCCAGGCCACGGGUGCUGAAAGGCGAGGGUGGAGAACGAGAACACGCCGUGGGCAGGAACAGGAAGAAGAGCAGUAUAAAAGCUGCAUUUGAUCUCUAUUGUAAAAGCUGCACUUGCUGAGUAUUCUAAAAGCUGCAGUUGAUGUAUGUAAUUAGUUGUGUGAGUAGUAAAUGGUGAUUACUGAUUGUGAUGUAUGCUACUCAAGCAUUUGCUGGAAAUAUAUAUAUCUGUGGCAUUUUGGCUU